GAUGAACGCUGGCGGCGUGCCUAAUACAUGCAAGUCGAGCGAACAGACGAGAGUGCUUGCACUCUCUGGCGUUAGCGGCGGACGGGUGAGUAACACGUGGGUAACCUACCUAUAAGACUGGGAUAACUUCGGGAAACCGGAGCUAAUACCGGAUAAUAUUUAGCUUCGCAUGAAGCAAUAGUGAAAGACGGUUCUGCUGUCACUUAUAGAUGGACCCGCGGUGUAUUAGCUAGUUGGUGAGGUAACGGAUCACCAAGGCAACGAUACAUAGCCGACCUGAGAGGGUGAUCGGCCACACGGGGACUGAGACACGGCCCAGACUCCUACGGGAGGCAGCAGUAGGGAAUCUUACGCAAUGGACGAAAGUCUGACGGAGCAAUGCCGCGUGAGUGAAGAAGGUUUUCGGAUCGUAAAACUCUGUUGUAAGGGAAGAACAAGUACGUUAGUAACUGAACGUACAUUGACGGUACCUUACCAGAAAGCCACGGCUAACUACGUG
rnacentral:rRNA from 1 species